rnacentral:tRNA from 1 species
UGUUCUGUGGCGGUGUUUGUUAACGCGCCCUGUCUAGCGAACUUGGGGAGACGUGGGUUCAAAUCCCACCAGAACUA